rnacentral:rRNA from 1 species
CAGUCGAACGGAGCCUUAACCAAAGAAGCAGCCAGCUUGCUGGAAGCCGUAAAGGGAAAGGCUUAGUGGCGGACGGGUGAGUAACGCGUGGGUAACCUGGCCCAUACAGGGGGAUAACACUUAGAAAUAGGUGCUAAUACCGCAUAACAACAGAAAGCGCAUGCUUUUUGUUUGAAAACCAAGGUGGUAUGGGAUGGACCCGCGUCUGAUUAGCUGGUUGGCGGGGUAAAGGCCCACCAAGGCGACGAUCAGUAGCCGGCCUGAGAGGGUGGACGGCCACAUUGGGACUGAGACACGGCCCAAACUCCUACGGGAGGCAGCAGUGGGAAUAUUGCACAAUGGGGGAAACCCUGAUGCAGCGACGCCGCGUGAGUGAAGAAGUAAUUCGUUAUGUAAAGCUCUAUCAGCAGGGAAGAAAAUGACGGUACCUGAGUAAGAAGCCCCGGCUAACUACGUGCCAGCAGCCGCGGUAAUACGUAGGGGGCAAGCGUUAUCCGGAUUUACUGGGUGUAAAGGGAGCGUAGACGGCAGUGCAAGUCUGGAGUGAAAGGCGGGGGCUCAACCCCCGGACUGCUCUGGAAACUGUACGGCUGGAGUGCAGGAGAGGUAAGUGGAAUUCCUAGUGUAGCGGUGAAAUGCGUAGAUAUUAGGAGGAACACCAGUGGCGAAGGCGGCUUACUGGACUGUAACUGACGUUGAGGCUCGAAAGCGUGGGGAGCAAACAGGAUUAGAUACCCUGGUAGUCCACGCCGUAAACGAUGAUCACUAGGUGUCG